CCUACGGGUGGCAGCAGUCGAGAAUCAUUCACAAUGGGGGAAACCCUGAUGGUGCGACGCCGCGUGGGGGAAUGAAGGUCUUCGGAUUGUAAACCCCUGUCAUGUGGGAGCAAAUUAAAAAGAUAGUACCACAAGAGGAAGAGACGGCUAACUCUGUGCCAGCAGCCGCGGUAAUACAGAGGUCUCAAGCGUUGUUCGGAAUCACUGGGCGUAAAGCGUGCGUAGGCUGUUUCGUAAGUCGUGUGUGAAAGGCGCGGGCUCAACCCGCGGACGGCACAUGAUACUGCGAGACGAGAGUAAGGGAGGGGGAACCGGAAUUCUCGGUGUAGCAGUGAAAUGCGUAGAUAUCGAGAGGAACACUCGUGGCGAAGGCGGGUUCCUGGACAUUAACUGACGCUGAGGCACGAAGGCCAGGGGAGCGAAAGGGAUUAGAUACCCCUGUAGUC
rnacentral:rRNA from 1 species